GCAGCGUUCCCAUAAUUGGCAUUGGAGCGGGUUGCUAUCCCGUCGGUCGUUAUUACGGCUUAUAAGUUCGAAUCUUAUACGCUGCG
rnacentral:tRNA from 2 species